GCAUAGCUCAGUUGGUUAGAGUGCGGUGCUGAUAGCCUGAAGGUUGCAGGUUUGAUCCCCGUAAAGGACAGCUGCA